rnacentral:lncRNA from 1 species
CGGCGCGGGGCGGGGAGGCGCGGCCCGGCGGAGGAGGGAAGAAAGAGCGAGCCGGGCCGGGAGAGGCGCCGCGCCCGGUCCCGCGCCCGGUCCCGCACCCGCUCUCAGCGGCCCAAGCAGUUUCUUUCUGGGUGACAAGAAUGUGCCUCGGUUGGUUUUUCUUUUUUUUCUCCAUCUCCUUAAGACGAUUUCCAUAGUAACCUGAUCAAGUGGCUCAAAAUCGCAAACCUGAGGAUUUCCGCGGCCCGCCGGCAAGACCUCGGCCAGGUUUACAGGAAAUCUGUCAUUUUUUAUUAAAAUGGAAAACUGUGAAGAAAGAAAAAGAUAGCAGUUGAAGUCAAAAUUCUCGGAUGACUAUUUUGCUUUUGAGGAGUCAGCAUUUAAAAACGAUAUGCUGAUUUGGAAGGUCCUGGGAGUAAACUGCAAACUUUAUUUUUUCCAUUCAAUCAAUGGAUUUUUUAAUCAUUCCUUGGAGUCGAUGAAGUUCGGAAACGGUGUGUGAUGGGGAACGUGGCGGGCCAGUGUGUUCCUAGAAAUUGCAUCUUGGAUUAGUUUGCUGCUUUUUUGAAGAGAUUCCAUUUUGAAGGGCAAGAACCUAAUGUGAUGGAUUUAUCUUCAGAAAUGAACAGACAUGGGAAGAAUCCAGUGAGUCACAAGCUAGAAGAUCAGAAGAAGGUAAAAGAAAUUUCUCUUUGCUUGGUCCUUUUUGUUUACACUUAAAGAGAAUUUUUGAAAUUGAAAAUGAAUGCACCUUUUGAGAUAAAAUAACAUACUGUUUCACGGAAAUCAACCCUGCUGUAUGGCAAUGUGUUUCUGUGGGUCUGGAUUUCAUUACCAGUUGGUAAUUUUGUUUCUAAAAUCCUCUGAAUUUAUCUAUCCAGUGGGUUGGCAAGGAUUCUACUGUGUUCUCUCACUCUUGACUUCAUACUAGUGACCUGUUGAACUGACCUCGUAGGAACAGUUCUCUGAGACCCAGGGUGAGGCAUGAGUCACAGGCACCUCUGGAGUAAUGGAGCAGGCUAGAGCUCUCCUUAAAUAGAACACCUGCCUUAUUGCCAUUAGAAAGCAUAAGUGGCAUUUUAAAUUCUCUAAUUU